rnacentral:lncRNA from 1 species
GGGGGUUCAAUUGACAAAGUGGCAUAUCAACUCAGCAAAAAUGGAGUCGCUACUUGCCAUCUAAGUUGUGGAGAAGAGUUUGAAAUCAUUGACAAAUGAUUUCGAGAGUUUUAUGUGCGUCGUCGAGGAGUCGAAGGACCUAUCAAAGCUUGUGGUUGAAGACUUUGAUAAGGUCCUGGAGGUGCACCGGCAGCGGAGAUUUUAGCCAC